GCUAACCUACCGUAGCCCAGCAGGCCGUCGGUAAAUACGUAGGCUGGCAAGCGUUGUCCGGAAACUUAUUGGGCGUAAAGCGCGCGCAGGCGGCUUCCUUAAGUCUGAUGUGAAAAGCCCCCGGCUCAAUCCGGGGAGGGUCAUUGGAAACUGGGGAACUUGAGUGCAGAAGAGAAGAGUGGAAUUCCCACGUGUAGCGGUGAAAUGCGUAGAGAUGUGGAGGAACACCAGUGGCGAAAGCGACUCUUUGGUCUGUAACUGACGCUGAGGCGCGAAAGCGUGGGGAGCAAACAGGAUUAGAUACCCUGGGUAGUCCACGCCGUAAACGAUGAGUGCUAAGUGUUAGAGGGUUUCCGCCCUUUAGUGCUGCAGCAAACGGCAUUAAGCACUCCGCCUGGGGGAGUACGGGCCGCAAGGGUGAAACUCAAGGAAAUUGACGGGGGCGCGCACGAGCGGUGGAGCAUGUGGUUUAAUUCGAAAGCAACGCGAGAACCCUUACCAGGUCGUGACAUGCUCCUGACGA
rnacentral:rRNA from 1 species